CCUACGGGGAGCAGCAGUGGGGAAUAUUGGACAAUGGGGGGAACCCUGAUCCAGCGACGCCGCGUGAGUGAAGAAGUAUUUCGGUAUGUAAAGCUCUAUCAGCAGGGAAGAAAGAAAUGACGGUACCUGACUAAGAAGCCCCGGCUAACUACGUGCCAGCAGCCGCGGUAAUACGGAGGGGGCAAGCGUGAUCCGGCAUUACUGGGUGUAAAGGGAGCGUAGACGGUGAGGGAAGUCUGAAGUUAAAGGCUGGGGCUCAACCUCCGGACUGAUUUGGAAACUGUAUGGCUGGAGUGCAGGAGAGGUAAGUGGAAUUCCUAGGGUAGCGGUGAAAUGCGUAGAUAGUAGGAGGAACACCAGUGGCGAAGGCGGCUGACUGGACUGUAACUGACGUUGAGGCUCGAAAGCGUGGGGAGCAAACAGGAUUAGAUACCCUGGUAGUC
rnacentral:rRNA from 1 species